CAGGGAGACAACAAAAUGUUUAUAUUAUUAUUUUGUCACCUUAGGUCGAUCGGUAUCUCACGUUCUUAGUUUAUUAAGAAUUUCAUUUCCUAAGUUUUUCUAGGUCACACCCAUUAUUUUUCCUGGGCCAUUAGCUCAGGUGGUUAGAGCGCACCCCUGAUAAGGGUGAGGUCCCUGGUUCAAGUCCAGGAUGGCCCAUAUCUCUAUGUUGGGGGUAUAGCUCAGUUGGUAGAGCGCCUGCUUUGCAAGCAGGAUGUCAGCGGUUCGAGUCCGCUUACCUCCACUGAUUACCACCUCUUCCAUAUCUAUAGAAAGGAAAUGUUUUGAGUUGUGAUCAAAUUCUGAACGAAUCUAGCUUCCUAAUGAAAUCAUUAAGAUGCUGGACUCAUUGAAUUAAUUUCAUUGUUUUCAGAGAACCUUGACAACUGCAUAGAUUAUUUUUAAAGACAAUAAGCAUCUUUAAUGAUGCAGAUUUAUUAUUUGUGCAAACGCACUAAUAACAAUUCUAUUAAGCUGAUGCUUCAAUUUUGAAGUUAUU
rnacentral:tRNA from 1 species